rnacentral:rRNA from 1 species
GCUAACGCGUUAAGUCGACCGCCUGGGGAGUACGGCCGCAAGGUUAAAACUCAAAUGAAUUGACGGGGGCCCGCACAAGCGGUGGAGCAUGUGGUUUAAUUCGAUGCAACGCGAAGAACCUUACCUGGCCUUGACAUCCAGAGAACUUAGCAGAGAUGCUUUGGUGCCUUCGGGAACUUUGAGACAGGUGCUGCAUGGCUGUCGUCAGCUCGUGUUGUGAAAUGUUGGGUUAAGUCCCGCAACGAGCGCAACCCUUAUCCUUUGUUGCCAGCGGGUGAUGCCGGGAACUCAAAGGAGACUGCCGGUGAUAAACCGGAGGAAGGUGGGGAUGACGUCAAGUCAUCAUGGCCCUUACGGCCAGGGCUACACACGUGCUACAAUGGCGCAUACAAAGAGAAGCGACCUCGCGAGAGCAAGCGGACCUCAUAAAGUGCGUCGUAG